rnacentral:rRNA from 1 species
UACAGAGGUCUCAAGCGUUGUUCGGAAUCAUUGGGCGUAAAGGGUGUGUAGGUGGCGCCGUAAGUCGGGUGUGAAAUUUCGGAGCUUAACUCCGAAACUGCAUUCGAUACUGCGGUGCUUGAGGACUGGAGAGGAGACUGGAAAUUCAUGGUGUAGCAGUGAAAUGCGUAGAGAUCAUGAGGAAGACCAGUGGCGAAGGCGGGUCUCUGGACAGUUCCUGACAGCUGAGACACGAAGGCCAGGGGAGCAAACGGG